rnacentral:rRNA from 1 species
UAGCAUAUCAAUAAGCGGAGGAAAAGAAACCAACAGGGAUUGCCCUAGUAACGGCGAGUGAAGCGGCAACAGCUCAAAUUUGAAAUCUGGCUUCGGCCCGAGUUGUAAUUUGCAGAGGAAGCUUUAGGCGCGGCACCUCCUGAGUCCCCUGGAACGGGGCGCCACAGAGGGUGAGAGCCCCGUAUAGUUGGAUGCCUAGCCUGUGUAAAGCUCCUUCGACGAGUCGAGUAGUUUGGGAAUGCUGCUCAAAAUGGGAGGUAAAUUUCUUCUAAAGCUAAAUACCGGCCAGAGACCGAUAGCGCACAAGUAGAGUGAUCGAAAGAUGAAAAGCACUUUGAAAAGAGGGUUAAAUAGCACGUGAAAUUGUUGAAAGGGAAGCGCUUGUGACCAGACUUGCGCCGGGCUGAUCAUCCGGUGUUCUCACCGGUGCACUCUGCCCGGCUCAGGCCAGCAUCGGUUCUCGCGGGGGGAUAAAGGCCCUGGGAACGUAGCUCCUCCGGGAGUGUUAUAGCCCGGGGCGCAAUGCCCUCGCGGGGACCGAGGUUCGCGCUCUGCAAGGAUGCUGGCGUAAUGGUCAUCAGCGACCCGUCUUGAAACACGGACCAAGGAGUCAAGGUUUUGCGCGAGUGUUUGGGUGUAAAACCCGCACGCGUAAUGAAAGUGAACGUAGGUGAGAGCUUCGGCGCAUCAUCGACCGAUCCUGAUGUUCUCGGAUGGAUUUGAGUAGGAGCGUUAAGCCUUGGACCCGAAAGAUGGUGAACUAUGCUUGGAUAGGGUGAAGCCAGAGGAAACUCUGGUGGAGGCUCGCAGCGGUUCUGACGUGCAAAUCGAUCGUCAAAUCUGAGCAUGGGGGCGAAAGACUAAUCGAA